AUUUUGUAAUCUAUCUAAGAGGCAUUUUCCUUAUGAUCAAAGGGAUAUGAGCAAUAACGAUGGGCAGAGUAUUUCACUUUUUUAAAGUUGUGUCUUGAACUCUAUCGAAUAUUUCAGGUAUGGAUAACGAAUGGCUCUCCUGUUCACUCAUCUUCAAUAAUUUGUUUCUUAAGAAGACUGCAAUCUUAUUGCAUUCCUGUUGAAGUAUGCUGUCAACAUGAUUAUAAAAAUCAAUAUGAUAACCAUCAAGGACACGGCUAGCUAAAAAGAAGGAGAAUCCAAUGUUUGGAUAAAUGUAAAUCUGCUUACAUCUUUUAACUUCUCCGAAUAAAGUAAACGCAACUUUAAGUGACGAAUCCAGUCUUUUUCAGAGCUAUAUUGUCCUAAAGGUCGAAGGGAAGGAAUUGAUGGAAGGGUCUUAGAGCAUGGUUUGACCCCUUUAGGGGUUGGGUCACUAAGGGAUCUCCCGGAAGUCGUUCCCAUCUUCGAUUUUGAUGGACAAUGUGAGUUCUGUUACUUGAGAAUUAGCCAAUUGCUGAUAAUUGGUUCAGGUCAGGGAUGAAGGAAAUCAAUUGGAUGAAAAUUCUGCAGACGUUUCUAUUCAAAACAUCUUCAUCUUCAUUCAGGGUCUGAAAGAGCAAUACAAGGACAUUAUACCACAAUAAAGAAUGGCCAAUUUGAAACAAAAAUUUUCGGCUGAUGAAAUGGAUGAUAGUCGGGCUGAGCCAGACCCAUGGAAUAACGUAGUUUUUGACUAAUUCGAACCCUGAAUCAUUGUUUGAGUGGCAUGAUGUGAUUUGGAAUUUGGAUCAUUGUUCGUGAGAACACAACAGCUUCGGAUAACAUUUCGCUGUAUAGUUCCAUAGGUGUUUUUUAAAGAGCGCUGUGGAAAUGGAUGAUAUUCAGGCUGAGCCAGACCCAGAGAAUAACGUAGUUUUUGACUAAUUCGAACCGAGAUUCGAACCCUGAAUUAUGAAUUGUUUGAGUGGCAUGAUGUGAUUUGGAUUUUGGAUCAUUGUUCGUGAGAACACAACAUCUUCGGAUAACAUUUCGCUGUAUAGUUCCAUAGGUGUUUCUUAAAGAGCGCUGUGGAAAUGGAUGAUAUUCAGGCUAAGCCAGAUCCAGAGGGAAUAACGUAGUUUUUGACUAAUUCGAACCCUGAAUCAUUGUUUGAGUGGCAUGAUGUGAUUUGGAUUUUGGAUCAUUGUUCGUGAGAACAGAACAUCUUUAGAUAACAUUUCGUUGUUCCGUUCCAUAGGUGUUUCUCAAAGAGCGCACCAAACUGAAAGAAAAAUAGAAGCGCUUCAAAAGUAUAUCCAGAAAGUAAAUCCUGGCAAAUGCUUAACACUUCAUUGAUAUGGCUGUGGUGACCUCAAAAUAUCAGUUGCUCAAGAUAUGGACAGGUUUUUUCUAUUCUGUCGAACUGGACGACAAAUCUCCGUGGGCACACCCAAUGGACAAUAAUAUCUUCCCAAUCUACUGAUUUCAGCCCAACUAUACAACUCUGGAGGGAACAGUUUCAGUUUUGAACGCUCGAUGGCGCAUUGACACUUAUAGUCGCAGUACUACUCCUGGCCGUCGAUUUAUAUCAUCUCUGUUUUCAAUAUGUUCUGUUUUUGUAUUGGUUGCCAUCGUUGGUUAGGUUGUGCGAUACUGAUGAGCUCUAAGAAGAGCAAAACUUUUUAUCGUUUCCUGUGCAGUAUAAUAAGUAUUUUGAGGCCCUCUGAAUAGUCCUUACCCCCUGUAUUAUAACU